ACAUUGGUGGUUCAGUGGUAGAAUUCUUGCCUUCCAUGUGGAAGACUUGGGUUCAAUUCCUGGUCAAUGCA
rnacentral:tRNA from 1 species